GACGAACCGUGCGAACGUUAUUCGGAAUCAUUGGGCUUAAAGCGCGUGUAGGCGGAUUCGUGCGUCUGUCGCUGAAAUCCCCCGGCUCAACCGGGGAACGGGCGCGGAUACGACGAGUCUGGAGGGGCAUAGGGGGACCUGGAACUUCCGGUGGAGCGGUGAAAUGCGUUGAGAUCGGAAGGAACGCCCGUGGCGAAAGCGAGGUCCUGGAUGCCUACGUGACGCUGAGACGCGAAAGCCAGGGGAGCGAACGGG
rnacentral:rRNA from 1 species